CCGCGCCCAGGGCAGGGCUGAGCCCCGCUCGCUGCUGCCGCCCGCCCGGGGAGCGCCGGGGCAGCGAGAGGCGCUCGGGGACAGCUCCGUCACCGCGGCAGCGCUCCGCCAAAGAGGAAGUUGUCUCGAAAUAACUCCGCGCUUCCCCUCCGGCCCCGCACGCUUUGUAGCGGCUGCCGAGCCCGGGAGCCGCCGGGGCUCCGCCGCCACCCCCGCGCCCCUGCCCGAUGUCCCCUGCGGGACCCCGCUGUGCCCCCCGCGAUGGAUUGAGGGGGGGCUGCGGCUCCCUGGGCCCCCCGAGUCCGGCCUGAACAAGGGCCAUGCCCCAGCGCCGUGAGCAGCCCCGCGCUGGUGCCCCAGGAGCCGCAGCCCGGCCCGGCCAUGGACAGCUCAGGUGGGUGAUGCUGAGCCCCGGGCGGGGAGGGGGAGCCGGGGAAUCCCCCUCAGCCACUCCUUAC
rnacentral:lncRNA from 1 species